CCUGCAUGAUGGCUGCACCUGUCAGCUGCAAGGAGCUUCCUUUAAGGAUCUUCUGAGUCUUGUGGGUAAACUCCAGGAGUUGGUGAU
ensembl:misc_RNA